rnacentral:tRNA from 1 species
CAGGAAUUAGUUUAAUUAAAAUAUUAAUUUUGGAGAUUAAUGAUAUGAGAAUUCUUAUUCCUGA